GGGGCUGUAGCUCAGCUGGCAGAGCGCUUGCAUGGCAUGCAAGAGGCCAGGGGUUCAAAUCCCCUCAGCUCCA
rnacentral:tRNA from 1 species